UACAGGAACACUAGGAAAGCCUAAAGCCCCUUGAUAAAGGAAAGCCACACGCACGGUGCCCACGCGCUCCCGUGUUCACGCUCAAAACGAUCGCGACCCUUCGGUUUCUGGUGGGCAGAGCCCAUGUUCGAGAAUCCACUGCGGGGCACCUACAGAGGCAGCGCCGACACUGAAGUGCCACUUCGCACUUAGCAGCUGUCAAGAAUCACCGAUUUUCUGCACGGAUGCACGAUGGGCUCGGAGCCACCAAGCUUGUGGAGUUACUGCUCCUCAUUGAACCACCUCUGUCCCAAGCUGAUGCCGGUCACCAAGAUCCACGCCGACCUGCGGUGGCCGACAACACCCUUUACCGCGAGGAGCCUGUUCUACAAGUUUGGCUGCUUGCAGGGUUCGGGGUCAUCUGCUGACGGCGUCUGUGACGUCGUCGCGCCGCUGUCAACAUGGAACGAAGCCCUCGUCUUCAUGGACGUGGAACUGCGCGAGGGUCCUCCCGGUCAGCUCUCUUUACUGUGCCUCCGUAGCAUUCAUGGAUCUUCUGGCGUGGAAGCGCGCGAGCGCCAUGCGACCGUCCUGGUUCACUGGCUCCUCACCGUCCACCGCUGUGACACAAGCGUUCUUGACAGAGUGCGGCACUACUUGCGAGUAUCGUUGCGAAUAGCGAAACUAUCUGGCACUUUCAGUACGAAGCUUACUGCGUUGCUUCGUGCCGGCUCCUGCUUAUUUACCUUGCCAAGUGCCUCCCAUCUAACACUUCUCUGGUGUCACUGGAGGUCAGCGAAUAUCACGCAGUCGUAAGCACGUAAAGGACUUCGUCAGACCCAACGCAGAUCUUAUUGACUGCGCCGCCCACUUGGUUCUCGGCACGAAGGACAAACACUUCGCGAAGGCCUUCGAACGUGUUGCCAGUGGCCGUGGAAUAGUGACCAGAGUUUAAGAACUGGCCGCCGAGCCAUGCGCUGAUCGAGUCAGAGAAAUGAUACGAGAUACCACACGUCGGCUGCUUGAAAUGAGAUCUUUCAUGGAGAUCACGUGUCAUCAAGAAUGACUUGUCAUGGGACGAGAGCGUCGAACCCCGAGAGCGCUUGGAGAUCUUGCCUUUGGAGUCUGGACUGCUGGCUUCACGUAAGACAGUUUAUCAAGAUUCGCGACGUGCUACAUCGGGUCCCCUUCGCUGGUACGCGAUGCAAGAGGGUGCUCUGGCGAGCUCCAUCGUGUACACGUAUAGGCCCAAGCUGCCUCGGCUGCAAUUGAGAGGGCAUACUUAGUGAAAUCUGCAAGUGUUGCAGGACAUCAGUGAAGUACACAUGUUGUGUUGACAAUUGAUUUGAGACUCCUUUUAAAUAGGGAUAUCUUAUUGAACGAUUAUAAUAUGUUUACUAAGUGACAGAGCCAAAUAAAAUAGCAAAUUCUUUAUA